rnacentral:rRNA from 1 species
UUACGGCCACAUCAGAUUGAAACACCGACUCCCGUACAAUCACUGAAGUUAAGCAACGUCGAGCCUGGUCAGUACCUACAUGGGUGACCGCUUGUGAAUAUCGUGAUG